rnacentral:rRNA from 1 species
GACGAACGCUGGCGGCGUGCUUAACACAUGCAAGUCGAACGGAAAGGCCCUGCUUUUGUGGGGUGCUCGAGUGGCGAACGGGUGAGUAACACGUGAGUAACCUGCCCUUGACUUUGGGAUAACUUCAGGAAACUGGGGCUAAUACCGGAUAGGAGCUCCUGCUGCAUGGUGGGGGUUGGAAAGUUUCGGCGGUUGGGGAUGGACUCGCGGCUUAUCAGCUUGUUGGUGGGGUAGUGGCUUACCAAGGCUUUGACGGGUAGCCGGCCUGAGAGGGUGACCGGCCACAUUGGGACUGGGAUACGGCCCGGACUCCUACGGGGGGCAGCAGUGGGGAAUAUUGCACAAUGGGCGGAGGCCUGAUGCAGCAACGCCGCGUGCGGGAUGACGGCCUUCGGGUUGUAAACCGCUUUCGCCUGUGACGAAGCGUGAGGGACGGUAAUGGGUAAAGAAGCACCGGCUAACUACGU